rnacentral:misc_RNA from 1 species
GAUGAAGAACGCAGCGAAAUGCGAAAAGUAAUGUGAAUUGCAGAAUUCAGUGAAUCAUCGAAUCUUUGAACGCACAUUGCGCCCGCCAGUAUUCUGGCGGGCAUGCCUGUCUGAGCGUCAUUUCAACCCUCAUGCCCCUAGGGCGUGGUGUUGGGGAUCGGCCAGCGCCCGCGAGGGACGGCCGGCCCCUAAAUCUAGUGGCGGACCCGUCGUGGCCUCCCCUGCGAAGUAGUGAUAUUCCGCAUAGGAGAGCGACGAGCCCCUGCCGUUAAACCCCCAACUUUCUAAGGUUGACCUCAGAUCAGGUAGGAAUACCCGCUGAACUUAAGCAUAUCAAUAAGCGGAGGA